rnacentral:rRNA from 1 species
AACUUAAAGGAAUUGACGGAAGGGCACCACCAGGAGUGGAGCCUGCGGCUUAAUUUGACUCAACACGGGGAAACUCACCAGGUCCAGACACAAUAAGGAUUGACAGAUUGAGAGCUCUUUCUUGAUUUUGUGGGUGGUGGUGCAUGGCCGUUCUUAGUUGGUGGAGUGAUUUGUCUGCUUAAUUGCGAUAACGAACGAGACCUUAACCUACUAAAUAGUGCUGCUAGCUUUUGCUGGUAUAGUCACUUCUUAGAGGGACUAUCGAUUUCAAGUCGAUGGAAGUUUGAGGCAAUAACAGGUCUGUGAUGCCCUUAGACGUUCUGGGCCGCACGCGCGCUACACUGACGGAGCCAACGAGUAUUAACCUUGGCCGAGAGGUCUGGGAAAUCUUGUGAAACUCCGUCGUGCUGGGGAUAGAGCAUUGUAAUUAUUGCUCUUCAACGAGGAAUUCCUAGUAAGCGCAAGUCAUCAGCUUGCGUUGAUUACGUCCCUGCCCUUUGUACACACCGCCCGUCGCUACUACCGAUUGAAUGGCUUAGUGAGGCCUCCGGAUUGGUUUAAAGAAGGGGGCAACUCCCUCUUGGAACCGAAAAGCUGGUCAAACUUGGUCAUUUAGAGGAAGUAAAAGUCGUAACAAGGUUUCCGUAGGUGAACCUGCGGA